UACGUAGGGGGCAAGCGUUGUCCGGAAUCAUUGGGCGUAAAGAGCGUGUAGGCGGCCUGGUAAGUCCGCUGUGAAAGUCCAGGGCUCAACCCUGGAAUGCCGGUGGAAACUGUCAGGCUCGAGUCCGGAAGAGGCGGGUGGAAUUCCGGGUGUAGCGGUGGAAUGCGUAGAGAUCCGGAAGAACACCAGUGGCGAAGGCGGCCCGCUGGGCAGUGGCUGACGCUGAGGCGCGACAGCGUGGGGAGCAAACAGG
rnacentral:rRNA from 1 species